GAUGAACGCUGGCGGCGUGCCUAAUACAUGCAAGUCGAGCGAACAGAUAAGGAGCUUGCUCCUUUGACGUUAGCGGCGGACGGGUGAGUUACACGUGGAUAACCUACCUAUAAGACUGGGAUAACUUCGGGAAACCGGAGCUAAUACCGGAUAACAUAUUGAACCGCAUGGUUCAAUAGUGAAAGGCGGCUUUGCUGUCACUUAUAGAUGGAUCCGCGCCGUAUUAGCUAGUUGGUAAGGUAACGGCUUACCAAGGCAACGAUACGUAGCCGACCUGAGAGGGGGAUCGGCCACACUGGAACUGAGACACGGUCCAGACUCCUACGGGAGGCAGCAGUAGGGAAUCUUCCGCAAUGGGCGAAAGCCUGACGGAGCAACGCCGCGUGAGUGAUGAAGGUCUUCGGAUCGUAAAACUCUGUUAUCAGGGAAGAACAAAUGUGUAAGUAACUGUGCACAUCUUGACGGUACCUGAUCAGAAAGCCACGGCUAACUACGUG
rnacentral:rRNA from 1 species